rnacentral:piRNA from 1 species
UGAGAUAGGAAACUUGGCACCUAUAC